GUUGCAGGGUGUGUGAGGUUGCAGUGUGUGUGAGGCUGCAGUGUGUGUGAGGCUGCAGGGUGUGUGAGGUUGCAGGGUGUGUGAGGUUGCAGGGUGUGUGAGGUUGCAGGGUGUGUGAGGCUGCAGGGUGUGUGAGGUUGCAGUGUGUGUGAGGCUGCAGUGUGUGUGAGGCUGCAUGGUGUGUGAGGCUGCAUGGUGUGUGAGGCUGCAGGGUGUGUGAGGCUGGCAGUGAAAUGCUGAAUACAACAGGUGUAGCAGUGAAAUGCUGAAUACAACAGGUAUAGCAGUGAAAUGCUGAAUACAACAGGUAUAGCAGUGAAAUGCUGAAUACAACAGGUGUAUCAGUGAAAUGCUGAAUACAACAGGUAUAGCAGUGAAAUGCUGAAUACAAGCCUUAACCUUAACCAACAAAAACAGUUAAAAAAAAAAAAAAACCUACAAAAAGUAACAAAUAAUUUAAGAGCAGUAAAACAACUUUUUAAAAUUUUAUUUAACCAGGCAAGUCAGUUAAGAACUAAUUCUUAUUUUCAAUGACGGUCUAGGAACAGUGGGUUAACUGGUCUAG
ensembl:lncRNA